AUUGACCGCUGCGGCAGGCCUAACACAUGCAAGUCGAGCGAGCGGCGGACGGGUGAGUAAUGUCUGGGAAACUGCCUGAUGGAGGGGGAUAACUACUGGAAACGGUAGCUAAUACCGCAUACCAUCAGAUGUGCCCAGAUGGGAUUAGCUGGUAGGUGGGGUAACGGUUCACCUAGGCGACGAUCCCGAGCUGGUAUGAGAGGAUGACCAGCCACACGGGAACUGAUACACGGUACAGACUCAUACGGGAGGCAGCAGUGGGGAAGAUUGCACAAUGGGCGCAAGCCUGAUGCAGCCAUGCCGCGUGUGUGAAGAAGGCCUUCGGGUUGUAAAGCACUUUCAGCGGGGAGGCGUUACCCGCAGAAGAAGCACCGGCUAACUCCGUGCCAGCCGCCGCGGUAAUUC
rnacentral:rRNA from 1 species